CUCAGGGGCAAGCAUGUUUCUCUUGGAUAAGAGUGGGGUGAAAGGCACUAUCGAAGUCUGAAUGCUGGUUGCAGAAGAUAAUUUGAAGAAUGGGAACAUUAAGCCAUACUCAUUCAACCUACUCUUUAAGAGUUUGACAGGAGGGCCUAUACCUGCGUAUGCUCCCACCUCCAUCCCAAGGGGAAAAAGAUGUCAAUGGAUGUUAGUAUAAGCUUCCUGAAGACCAACUCUCAAACAGACAAAUUUUGGACAAAAUAUGAAAAACACCUGCCUAAAGAUCUGGAGAGUAGUCAUCCGCAGGCACAGUGUUGAAGGGAGUCAAUGUGGAGAAGCAAAUAGCAAAGGGAGAAAAACCAUCCCAUUCUGGAAGUUAGGAUUCUGCAUCAAGAAGAGAGAACACUGGAGCUCAGAGGAGAGGUGAACGGGGCCUCCUCCAAGUUCUCUCUGUUUUAUAAAGAGCUCUUCUCUACCCACGGCUGGCACCAAAUCCCUGAGACUUCUCUCAGUGUUUUGGAGUGAAUAUCUGAUUUCCC
rnacentral:lncRNA from 1 species